GUAUCGGAUUGUGUUUUUUCUUUUUGUUUUUUGUUUUGUUUUGUUUUUCCUUGGACCUUUUCCCUGCCAUGGCCGGAGGGGCGGCCGAUGUCUUCAACGGCGAGAGGGCCGUCGUUGCCCUAUUUGUCUCGCGUGUACUCCUUUCUGCCCCCCUCUCCCUCCUUUAUGAGUCUCUCGCUCUCUUCCUUCUUUCCGCUUGCGGCCUGCUCGUUGAGAUCUCCGUGGAGAGUUCCUCCGCCCCGCCCCGCUUCAAAACAAGGCCUGGUGCAUCUUCUGGGACACUACUGGGUGCGGUGACUCUACCUGCUGUCAUACUUUCCCGACUGAUACAACUUUCAAGAGUGCUUCUGGAGAAUAAUGCCACUUCUGAUGAGAUUUCAGGAUUGGAUAUGCAGUUUUGGACCGUAUCUGCUAGCUGCUUUAGUGUGCUAAUAUUCUUCUGUUUAACAUUCCAACAUUCUCCCAAGAAUACAACUUUCUUUCAGCUUAAGAACUUUCGAACUUCAAAUUGUGGGCUAAUGCACAUGGUGUUGUUGUCCAUGGCUCUUUGCUAUUUGUCUUUCACAGCAAAAGCAGACAGUGGGUAUCUUCCUUUGUUGAAAUUUGUGUGGUUAAUUUGUCAUUCGUUGGCUAGUGUUAUGCUUAUCCAGCACAUUCUUCAGGCAUUCCCAUCAUGCGCUUCAUUAGGGGAAGUACUUCUAGUGUCUAGUGGUUUGAUGCUUUACUUUGGUGACGCACUGGCGCAUUCCCUUAGCAAGGCCUUGGCAUUCUUAGCACCAUCAGCACUGACUUUCCUUAAAUAUGGAACUCGUUCUGAAAUAGCAAUAGUUAUUCAGGGAGUGAUGGUUGGCCUGUUCCUUUUCCCUGCGUUCUACAAAAUUGUUCUUUGGGCUUGGCUUCACCUAACAAACUUGAGGAAGCCUGAAGCUUUAGCAACCAAUGGGGGACCAAACAAUGUGGUUGAAAUGUCAGUUUUGUUUUAUGCUUCUCUCUUGUUCAUGUUGACAGCAUUGAUUCCAGCUUGGAUGUACCUUGUUUGGGAUUUUCAGAAGCAUCCUGUUGCAUGGGUGUUUACAUUUGUCUUCUCAGACCCACUCAAGCACUUGGCACUAUGUUUAUAUUGGGUUUGUGUGAUCUGUGUCUCAGUUUUGCGGUUCUACGAUAUAUCAAAGCACAGCAAGAUUGAGAGGAUUCUUCUUAGGAAAUACUACCAUUUAGUGGCAGUUCUAAUGUUUUCACCUGCUCUUCUUCUUCUGCCUGCCUUUUUGAACCUUGCAUUUGGUGCAGCCUUUGCAGUUUUUCUAGUGUUGGAAAUGAUUAGGGUCUGGAAAAUCUGGCCAUUGGGACACACUAUUCACCAAUUCAUGAAUGCUUUUACUGAUCAUCGUGACUCGGACAUUCUUAUUGUCAGUCACUUCUCCCUCUUACUUGGAUGUGCCCUUCCAAUAUGGAUGUCAUCUGGGCUGAAUGAUAGACCCCUUGCUCCUUUUGCUGGGAUUUUAAGCCUAGGGAUUGGUGACACAAUGGGCGCAGCGCAGACGGUGGGCGCAUGGUAUAUCUGGCGUAAUGGCCAGGAGUCAAUUCUCAGGAAUUGAUGACCUGGGGUUUACCCCAUCAUGCGCCUAUGGCCUGUGUACUUGCAUGUACCUCCCUCCAUAUCCGUGGGGCCAGCACUAGGGGGGUCGCUAAGGCAUCAGUUGUUGGCCACAAGUAUGGUGUUCUUCGGUGGAGCAAAACUGGAAAGAAAACUAUCGAAGGUACUGCAGCUGGAAUAACGUCUGUCCUCGCAGCCUGCUCAGUCCUCCUGCCUCUACUAGCAUCAACUGGUUAUUUCUUUUCCCAGCACUGGUUGUCUUUGCUUGUGGCAGUCACGGUCAGCGGCUUGUUGGAGGCAUACACGGCACAACUUGACAAUGCCUUUAUUCCUCUUGUAUUUUACAGCCUCCUGUGUCUAUGAUAACAUCUAACUACGUUUUCUCCGGACCGGGUGUUUAAUGUAUAUUCACAUCCACUUCUUUAUAGAGCAGAUGAUCUUAAGCUAUAGUUCAUACUUCUACAAAAUUCCACUGAAGCAUUAGCACCACGGCCAAUGGUUUUACAUUCUUCGUUUGCAUCAGAACAGGCAACGAUGGGAUCAGAUCCAUGCUGUAAAAAUUUGAUUAUUAAUAUUUCACAAGGGCUGAUUGUUAUA